GCCAGUGUGGCAUAGUGGUUUGAGUGUUGGCCUAAGACUCUGGAGAUCAGGGCUCGAUUCCCUACUUGGCCA